rnacentral:lncRNA from 1 species
AUGAAACUCCAACAGCAGAAGCUGCAUUUAGGUCCUCGCCCACUUCUGUUGCCCAUUAAACGGCGUGAAGACUUAGGUGGAAGUUCAGGAGAUGACGGCCUUCCUUGUAGCCCCUCUGAAGUAUCCAACAGUGAAGAACUAUACAUGAACAUAUCGAACAAGGCCUCUGGCUCAGUGGAUUUUAGCACUCCCCCACAGUUCACUUCCCUCCUGGACAACUCUGCUGCCCGUCACCGUAUGUCCCUCAAGCCUAAGAACCAAAGAGCCAUUGCCAAGAACAAGAGGGUGACCACUUUGGCUGGAAGCAGAGCACGAUCUGAGAGUUUAAACAAUCUGGAUCAAUCACUGACUACUACGGAGGAAGAGACUACUACGGAGGAAGAGACUCUUGUAAAAGAGAUACCUCGCGCUCGCUCGUAUUCCUCGCAGGUCUUACGGGGGGAGAGGCUAACAACUUUACAAAUCAACAGUCCAGUUUCAGUGACACCUUUAAUGUCUCUGCAUACUGCUGGAGAUUGUAGAAAAGUUUCUGCUGAACCUGAGCUUGAGAGAAACAUCCUGUCCACAUCACCUCCAAGCCCCAGCCUACGGGAAACGACUCCAGCUGUGUCACCAUUUGCCAAACUGCCAAUCCCAGUGGUGCCAAUUGACAAAAAGGGAAAAGGAGAAGUGAGUGAGAUGCUCAGUAGCUCCAAACUACUCAAGAACAGCCAAAGUACCACUGUGUUAACUGUAAGCCCAACUGUAAGACCAAGUGUAACUACCACACCAGAACUGAGUCCUGUGAAAGAUGAGAAGUCUAAUGCUGUGCCAAUAGAUACCAAGACGGACAAAUGCAGUGUUCAGAAUGCAGUAAAUAUUGAAAAUCACACAGCCUCUGCUCAUGGUCCAACCAAUGUGAUUUGUGGAAUAAAUCUGAGACCAUCAUCUUUGAGGAGAAAUAUACCUUCCACAGAUGAAAAACAAAAAAAAGAGUCCGGGACUGAAGCUCACACUCAAACAGAAUCCAUAAAGCGCCAGAGAACUGUGUCUGGAUCGUUCCACUUCAGUGUCUCCUCAGACAAGAAUCAAGAGCGGCAGAGGACUGCAAGUUUCACUGGAGUAUUUGGACAAGCUGGAAUUAAAAAAAAAGCCUCCAUCUCCUGUCAAACCUCCUUUAAAUUUCAAGAUAGAGCGGCAAGUAAGUUCACAAGUUGAGAAAACAAUAAAAGACACAUGCCCUAACAUACCACCAACUUCAAAGAAGGAAGACAAAACGGACACUUCUCCAGUGAUGCCAACAAAGUUCACAGAUCUAGCAAAGAGUCACCCUCGGGCCUUGGAUGUGGAGGAGAGUCAGGACAACGAGAAGCAGGAGAUUGGGGUAGAGGAAGGAGUACAGGAGGUGGAGCUGGCAGAAGAGGCACGUGAGGAUGUGAUGGAAGAUGUGACUAUGGGAAAAGAGGAAGAUGCUUCAAAUGCAUUUGGAGUGAAGCUUCGCUCUACCUCUCUUUCACAAAAAUUUCACUUGGACAAAGCUCAAUCAGAAGAAGUAAAAUGCCACAGUGUUGAAGUUAGUGCACCGAUUUCCUCUUCGGCCUCUCAGUCUGAUUCAACCAGCUAUGUGGAGCCUGAAGACCAAUGCAUUGGCAUGGGGUCUACAAGAGUCCAUGCUAAACUCAAAGACCCUCCUCUCCAAACUGAUGCAUCCUCAACUUCAGUUCAUUCCUUCGGUUCGCCACCUAAGAGUUCCUGUAGGGACAAAGAGAGAGCUGGUGUCCUCAGACAGGCUGGUGAGUUUCUUUUCGUGGUUUCCCAAGGUGCAUGAAGAUUAAGCCUCUGGCCUAUUUAGUUGCAAUUAUGACGAAUGUGAACAGCUACAUAUCCUAUGAGGAUGAUGAUCCAGGUAAUACCAGGAAAAGUCAAACAUUUUAGAAAGCUGCUUUGUACAAAUGUUUAACUGUGCCCAUCUGUAAAUACACUGGUAGCGGUUACUAGAUUUCUGUUUAAGUUAUACCUGUCUUAUUGAACAGACAGUGGACUUUACUAAAUCACUAAACCAAUAAAGUCAUUAUCAACUUUAUUUAAUGAUUAAUUGAUUUUAGUAUAAUAUAAAAAGAGAAGCAAUCAGCAGAGCAGUACAGUAAGAAAUGAUAUGCACUAUAACAAAUAACAAUACUAAACAAAAAAUGGUGCUACAACAGCUUACAAGAUGCAUGCACAUUAGCAAAAUUCUGUUGCCCAAAAAAAGGUUCACUGUCCAUUAUCAAUAGUAUAGCGAUGCAUGAAACACAGCUCACACAGAAGUUUUUCUAUUCAGUCUUUUCUAUUCAGCUUUCUAUACAGUCAGCAUGUGAAAUCUGCAUGGGGUACGUGAAACUCUUGAACGUGUAACAAACUAGCUCAGAGGGGGAAAUAUUAAUAAUUACUCAUAACUUUUUAUAAUUAAUUAUUCAUAUUUAUAUAGCUUUACGAUUAACUGUAGCAGAAUUAAUUUUACAAUCGACUGAACGGUUCGUCCACCGAACUGAUAGUACAAUCUUUUAUCAAUUCAAAGUAAGAUUAUUCUCCUGGCCAACAAGGAUAGCUUUCUCACUGUUAAUACUAAACAGCACAAGAGCAUGUAACGAAAUCAUAUGUUUAAGUGACCUUGAUUUGUGAGCAGCGAACACAGAGACAAUCGAGAGUGUUUAUGAAAAAGUUUAAUAAAUGGGACUAGUUGUAACAUAGCUAAACUAAGCGUAUAUGUAGGAUUACAAAAAGGUAAAAGUGAGCGAGAGAGAAAGAGAGAGAAAGAGAGACAGAAUGGCAAUAUUUACACAUGCCCAACCCUAAGAGCCAGCAAGGAACCAAAAUCUCCUUUAAAAAAGGGGUUAAAAACUAUAGUGCAUCUAACAGUUACUAAAAAAGGUUACUUGCAUUGGUUUUGAUGCAUAAUGACAGUCCGAAAAAUCAGGUAAGGCUGAGUUCAAUGUAGCGUGCUGGAGUUGUCCCUUGUUGGUCUUUACUGGGCCACAGGCAUUUGGUGCAUGGUGCUGAGUUCAUCUUCUCAUGGAAUGUGCUUGAAGUCAGAUCGGGCGACCAGAGUACUGUUCUGUUUAGCAUCUUCUGGAUGGUGGGGGGGACCCUUGGAAAUUUAGCACCCAUAUAAACAUAGACUGUGGGGCCAGGUCUGUAAUUUCUAUGCAGAUGUCAAAAGGCUAAAAGGAUCUCUGAGACAUAAAGCCCAAACGAACAUCAGUGAUCCUAUGCAAAUGCUACAAACAUGCCCAUGAAAUUUUGCAGGGCAAUGGUAAAUAUGGCUCUCUUUUAGUAGCAAGUAAACAAGAACACACCUAUUCACCACUACUUAUUUAAGUCAUAUCUGAUUUUGCAUUUACCCAUUUUACCCAUGUUGGUUAGAUCACCUCUUUCCGUGCAGAUUU